UUAGAAGCUGCCAAGAUCCUCAGGAUCUGA
rnacentral:piRNA from 1 species